CAGCGCUCUGAAAUGGACACGUUGCAUGUGUAUGCACGUGCUUCACGCACACGUCAGUUUGGCCAGUGGGGCCUGACAGCCAGGGCCCCGCAUGCUUUCCUAUUGGUUGAUUUGGUGUGAGGGCGGGUACUGGGCAUUGCUAACUUGUCAAUUAACUAUAGAUUAUUUAGUGGCUGUGCGAUUUGGUACUCUACCGAUUGAACAUAAAUUAGAGAUUAAACGUCUGGGACCCCAUAGACCAGAAGAUUUCACCCUUUGUCAAGAAGGAAAGGAUAAAAAUAGAUCAUUCAACCAUGAAUGGUUCAAACAUAAAAAAUGGCUAACGGCUAGCCAAUCAAAAAAAGCACUCUUCUGUUUUCCAUGCCUUCUUUCUGGAGGGGAAACUGUCUGGACAAUGACUGGAUUUAAGGACUUGAAACAUCUAUCAGAAAGGCUCGUAAAACAUGAGAGCUGCGCAUCACAUGU